GCGUGGCCUUCGGGGAGGCCACGCCAACAUCACAUUUUGGUGACGGAGAUAGACCACCCUGUACGUACUACGGUGUCUUCACGAUUCCUGAGGAACCGCUUUGCUGCCGCUGACGCCGGAUUCUGACCGGACGCAACCAGCGUUCGCAUCAGCGCCACGUCCUGCUGAGCAACGCGUUCCGUCGCCAUUACGACCGGAUCUUGGCGACGAGGAAUCCUUUUGCAUCGUGGCCACAUUGCACGAAACAGCGUGGCUCCCGCAAAUGUGCCCUGUGUGACGUCGAGCUGAACAGAACACUGGAGAACCAUCUACACAGAAGUAUUCGCCACAUAAACUGCAGGAAACGGGCAACAGAAGACGCCCUCUACAUGUUGAACAGAGGCCUCCAUAAACUGGUGAAGAUAUGGAGACGAGCGGGCUGCAAAGAUUCAUUAUUUGAAAUUCGCUUAAACACGACAGUGGGAAUAUUGGACAAAAUGCUCAACAGGGCCAUAGACGCUCAAAAGGCGUCUUUUAGGCGCACCCAUCAAGCUCACAAGGCCUGCAAAACUUCGAAGGAUUGC
rnacentral:lncRNA from 1 species